ACCUCCUUUCUAAGGAGCACCACGAAAAGCACUCCAAUUGGUGGGGUGCGAGCCGUGAGGGGUUCUCGCCUGUAGUGGGCGAGAGCCGGGUGCGCAACAGCAAAUGAUUGCCAGACACACUAUUGGGCCCUGAGACAACACUCGGCCAGUCCGCGUGGUGUCCCUCCAUCUUGGUGGUGGGGUGUGGUGUUUGAGAAUUGGAUAGUGGUUGCGAGCAUCA
rnacentral:misc_RNA from 1 species